rnacentral:rRNA from 1 species
AAAGAUUAAGCCAUGCAUGUGUAAGUUCAGACCCUUCCUUAGUGUGAAACCGCAAACGGCUCAUUAAAUCAGUCAUUAUUUACUGGAUGAUGGUUAUCGGUACUUGGAUAACCGUGGCAAUUCUAGAGCUAAUACAUGCAACAGAGCUCCGACACCCGGCCCUUACGUUCGGAGAAUAUCCUAGUUCGGGUCGCGGCGGAAGGGCGCAAUUAUUAGGUUCCACAAACCGAGCGGGCUCUCGAGCCCGAUAACUUUGGUGGUGGUGACUCUGGUUAAUAUUGCUGAGCGUUGAGGCCUUCGCGCCGACGCUACAUCCUUCGAGAGACUGCCUUAUCAGCUUAUUCGUAUGGUAAACGCCUACGAUGGCUGUAACGGGUAACGGGGAAUCUGGGUUCGAUUCCGGAGAGGGAGCCUGAGAAACGGCUACCACAUCUAAGGAAGGCAGCAGGCACGCAAAUUACCCACUCCCGGCACGGGGAGGUAGUGACGAUAAAUAACGAUGCGGGACUCUUCCGAGGCCUCGCAAUCGGAAUGAGUUUACCCUAAAUCCUUGAGCGAGGAUCCAUUGGAGGGCAAGUCUGGUGCCAGCAGCCGCGGUAAUUCCAGCUCCAAUAGCGUAUAUUAAAGUUGCUGCGGUUAAAAAGCUCGUAGUUGGACUUUGGGUCCGUAUCGGGGGCCCACCCAAGGCUCGGCCUCGGCGAGGUUUCGCUGCUAAGCGAGUAGGUCUCCGCCGCGUUGCGUCGAUUCGGCGAUUCGCGCGAUCGGGUGAUCACUAGCGGGUACGCGGUUAAGUAAGGUUCUCGGUCUCGGCUUUGAACGGUGGGAGGUAGGGAGGUUCGUCGUAGGACUCCUCGUUGGGCCCUUGGCAACCUAAUUCUCCUCUCUCUCGUCGGCCCCGUUCCGUUAACCCCAAACACCGCGUGCUUGCUGUGCUAACCCAUCCGCGUCGCCGCUUCUUCCUUCACGACGCCCAUUCUCGUAGCGGCCUCGACCCGAGUCACCGAACCUAGGUGGUUAAUCCCCCGACUACGGGUUUAUUAAAAAGGCCGUCGGCGCUCACGGGAUGCUCUUUACCGAGUGUCCCGCGUGGCCGAUGACGUUCACUUUGAAAAAAUUAGAGUGCUCAAAGCAGGCAAAAAUUAACGCCUGAAUGUCUAUGCAUGGAAUGAUGGAACAGGACCUCGGUUCUGAAUAUUUUUUCUCUCGGUUUUAUAGGAACCCGAGGUAAUGAUUAACGGAGACGGACGGGGGCAUUAGUAUUGCGGCGCGAGAGGUGAAAUUCUUGGACCGUCGCAAGACUAACUACUGCGAAAGCAUUUGCCAAGAACGCUUUCAUUAAUCAAGAACGAAAGUUAGAGGAUCGAAGGCGAUCAGAUACCGCCCUAGUUCUAACCUUAAACGAUGCUAACUAGCGAUCCGCUUAUGUCAUUCCCACGACUGAGCGGGAAGCCCCCGGGAAACCAAAGUUUUUGAGUUCCGGGGGUAGUAUGGUUGCAAAGCUGAAACUUAAAGGAAUUGACGGAAGGGCACCACCAGGAGUGGAGCCUGCGGCUUAAUUUGACUCAACACGGGGAAACUCACCAGGCCCAGACACCGGAAGGAUUGACAGAUUGAGAGCUCUUUCUCGAUUCGGUGGUUGGUGGUGCAUGGCCGUUCUUAGUUGGUGGAGCGAUUUGUCUGGUUAAUUCCGAUAACGAACGAGACUCUACCCUACUAACUAGUCNGNGGAUCNUUUCCCGAG